GUGGGUAUAGCUCAGUGGUAGAGUGCAUACUUAGCAUGCACAGGGUCCUGGGUUCAAUUCCCAGUACCUCCA
rnacentral:tRNA from 1 species